rnacentral:rRNA from 1 species
AACGAACGCUGGCGGCAGGCUUAACACAUGCAAGUCGAACGCCCCGCAAGGGGAGUGGCAGACGGGUGAGUAACGCGUGGGAACAUACCCUUUUCUACGGAAUAGCUCUGGGAAACUGGAAUUAAUACCGUAUACGCCCUACGGGGGAAAGAUUUAUCGGGGAAGGAUUGGCCCGCGUUGGAUUAGCCAGUUGGUGGGGUAAAGGCCUACCAAGGCGACGAUCCAUAGCUGGUCUGAGAGGAUGAUCAGCCACAUUGGGACUGAGACACGGCCCAAACUCCUACGGGAGGCAGCAGUGGGGAAUAUUGGACAAUGGGCGCAAGCCUGAUCCAGCCAUGCCGCGUGAGUGAUGAAGGCCUUAGGGUUGUAAAGCUCUUUCACCGAUGAAGAUAAUGACGGUAGUCGGAGAAGAAGCCCCGGCUAACUUCGUG